rnacentral:lncRNA from 1 species
GCAGGAGUUAAAAAGUUUAUGAAAGGAGAGUCAUUAUGUAGAGUAAAAAGAAGAAUUAUUCAAGCAAUAUGGGAUUAACAAUUUCAUGCUAUGCUCUGCUGACUGAGUUAGCCAGUCAUCAAAAAGCCUCUCUUUGGCCCUGCUCCUUCUCACCUAGGUAUGUUGGAUCUUUACAAAAGCAAAGUGGAAGGGAAUUCUCAGACAGACACCUCUAAGUUACUGAAACAUUAUCUGUCUUCACUCUUUUUCGUGGCAGAGAGAGCAACUUCGUUCUUUUGCCCCUAAAUCAAC